rnacentral:misc_RNA from 1 species
GAUGAAGAACGUAGCGAAAUGCGAUACUUGGUGUGAAUUGCAGAAUCCCGUGAACCAUCGAGUCUUUGAACGCAAGUUGCGCCCGAAGCCAUUAGGCCGAGGGCACGCCUGCCUGGGCGUCACACGUCGUUGCCCCCCCAUCUACUCCUUCGGGAUUGCGGGGGGCGGAUGAUGGCCUCCCGUGCGCCUCGUCGCGCGGUUGGCAUAAAUGCCAAGUCCUCGGCGACGCACGCCACGACAAUCGGUGGUUGCGAAACCUCGGUUGCCCGUCGUGUGCGGUCGUCGCGCAUCGAGGGCUCGAAAAAAUUGUCGGGCUCCGGCUCGGCUUUCAACGCGACCCCAGGUCAGGCGGGGUUACCCGCUGAAUUUAAGCAUAUCAAAAGCGGAGA